CUAUAACGGUCCUAAGGUAGCGAAAUUCCUUGUCGGGUAAGUUCCGACCUGCACGAAUGGCGUAAUGAUGGCCAGGCUGUCUCCACCCGAGACUCAGUGAAAUUGAACUCGCUGUGAAGAUGCAGUGUACCCGCGGCAAGACGGAAAGACCCCGUGAACCUUUACUAUAGCUUGACACUGAACAUUGAGCCUUGAUGUGUAGGAUAGGUGGGAGGCUUUGAAGUGUGGACGCCAGUCUGCAUGGAGCCAACCUUGAAAUACCACCCUUUAAUGUUUGAUGUUCUAACGUUGCCCCGUUAUCCGGGGUGCGGACAGUGUCUGGUGGGUAGUUUGACUGGGGCGGUCUCCUCCCAAAGAGUAACGGAGGAGCACGAAGGUUGGCUAAGCAUGGUCGGACAUCAUGCGGUUAGUGCAAAGGCAUAAGCCAGCUUGACUGCGAGAGUGACGGCUCGAGCAGGUACGAAAGUAGGUCUUAGUGAUCCGGUGGUUCUGAAUGGAAGGGCCAUCGCUCAACGGAUAAAAGGUACUCCGGGGAUAACAGGCUGAUACCGCCCAAGAGUUCAUAUCGACGGCGGUGUUUGGCACCUCGAUGUCGGCUCAUCACAUCCUGGGGCUGAAGUAGGUCCCAAGGGUACGGCUGUUCGCCGUUUAAAGUGGUACGCGAGCUGGGUUUAGAACGUCGUGAGACAGUUCGGUCCCUAUCUGCCGUGGGCGUUGGAAGAUUGAAAGGGGCUGCUCCUAGUACGAGAGGACCGGAGUGGACGCACCACUGGUGUUCGGGUUGUCAUGCCAAUGGCAUUGCCCGGUAGCUAAGUGCGGAAGAGAUAACCGCUGAAAGCAUCUAAGCGGGAAACUUGCCUUGAGAUGAGUCUUCCCUGACCCUUUAAGGGUCCUAAAGGAACGUUUAAGACUAAGACGUUGAUAGGUUGGGUGUGUAAGCAUAGCGAUAUGUUGAGCUAACCAAUACUAAUGAACCGUGAGGCUUAACCUGACAACACCGAAGGUGUUUUAG
rnacentral:rRNA from 1 species